rnacentral:lncRNA from 1 species
UCACCUGUGAGCUGAAAUGAGUUUACAAUCUGUGCACACACACACCAGCAGCGGCAAAGCAGCGCACAGCAGAGGCCGUGCACAGCGGAGACCAAGCAGCCAGGGUUGACCAUCAAAAGCUCUUCUUGAGCUAGGCUUCUGUGAGAAAUUUUUCUCCGCUAGGAGGUAACAAAGAGACAUGUUCUGUUCUUUCUAAGAAAAAAAAAUCUGCAAAGUAUUAUGCUAUAACUGAGUCCUUAAAUAGUCCCCAACAUCUGUUUCCCUCCGUCAUGUAUUUCCUGCCUGGGAAUUCUUACAUGUCUU